AUUGAACGCUGGCGGCAUGCUUUACACAUGCAAGUCGAACGGUAACAGGCCGCAAGGUGCUGACGAGUGGCGAACGGGUGAGUAAUGCAUCGGAACGUGCCCAGUCGUGGGGGAUAACUGCUCGAAAGAGCAGCUAAUACCGCAUACGAUCUAUGGAUGAAAGCGGGGGACCGUAAGGCCUCGCGCGAUUGGAGCGGCCGAUGUCAGAUUAGGUAGUUGGUGGGGUAAAGGCUCACCAAGCCAACGAUCUGUAGCUGGUCUGAGAGGACGACCAGCCAAACUGGGACUGAGACACGGCCCAGACUCCUACGGGAGGCAGCAGUGGGGAAUUUUGGACAAUGGGGGCAACCCUGAUUCAGCAAUGCCGCGUGCAGGAAGAAGGCCUUCGGGUUGUAAACUGCUUUUGUACGGAACGAAACGGUCUGGGUUAAUACCCUGGGCUAAUGACGGUACCGUAAGAAUAAGCACCGGCUAACUACGUGCCAGCCGCCGCGGUAA
rnacentral:rRNA from 1 species